AAAAAAAGAGGAAAGCUUAUCAAGCCCUCAAAGCUACCCAGGCAAAGCAGACACUUUUGGCAAAGAAGGAGCAGAGGAAAGGAAAAUAGCUCAGGUUUAAGCAACUAGAAUUCUUCCUACAUGAUUCCCAGCAGCAGAACCGUGACAAGGUGCAUCUCAGAUGACUAGAAGUGAAACCUCAUGCCUUGGAAUUGCCAGAUAAACAUUCCUUGGCCUUUGUUGUAUGCAUCGAAAGGAUUGACAGCAUGAGUUUACUGGUGCAGAGAACCAUUGCAAGACUUCACGUAAAGAAAAUUUUUAGUGGUGUCUUUGUAAAAGUCAUCCCACCACCCACCCCCGCCACACAGAACCUAAAAAUGCUGUGAAUAGUGGAACCUUAUGUGACCUGGGGAUUUCCAAAUCUGAAGUCUGUCUGGUAACUCAUUCUGAAAUGUAGACAAGCCAAGGUCAAUAAUAAGACCAUCCCUCUGACAGACAACACAGUGAUUGAGGAACACCUGGGGAAGUUUGGUGUCAUUUGCUUGGAAGACCUCAUUCAUGAAAUUGCCUUCCUAAGAAAGCAUUUCCAGGAGAUUUCAUGGUUCUUGCACCCUUUCCACCUCUCAAUGGCCCUUCAUGCUACCAAAAGAAGAGUGGGCUUCCUCAAGGAGAUGGGCACACCUGGCUAUCAGGGUGAACACAUCAAUCAGCUCAUCCGCCAGCUGAAC
rnacentral:lncRNA from 1 species